UGAGAAAUUUUCUCUAGAAUUCUGACAGCUUCCUUGUAUGUAUAGUCCAACAAAGGACUAUUAACAGAUGCGUCGACAAGAUUUCUUGUCUGUGCAUUUAGCCCGUUGUAAAAGAUUUCAAUCUGCGUCCCCUGUUGAAUUCCAUGCAUGGGACAGCAUCAAAGAAGAGAUUUGUAACGCUCCUACAUAGUAUGCAAAUUUUCAUCAUCCAGCUGAUGAUAUGUAGUGAUGUCAUUCCUAAGACGAGAAUUCAUCGUUGGUCGAUUAGCAAAACGAAUUAAGUUACAAGCGCAUUCCAUGAAGUGAUUGAUCCAACAGGCAAUCCAAGGAACUAGGUAUGAGCCUGUCUUUGUAAUGUAUAAGGGAAUAGUUGCAUUUUCAAGGCAUCAUCAGGAGCCAUGCUGGUUGAAAGAAGCACAAAUCAGUAGAAAGGAUUUAAGGUGCUCUCUCGCAUCUUCAUAUGCCAGCCCAGCAUACUACCCAUUAGAAUUUAGCAUCUGGAACAUGACUGACUUUAAUUCAAAAUUUCCAGCUUGAAUAGUUGGCCUAACAACCCCUGGCUGCAAAUAAUCCGAAAUUGGAACAACAAAAUCUCAAAUAGUUCGAUUUUGCAUCUGAUCUUGUUGCGACAAUGAUGGAUUAUUGAUAUUUUGUGGCUGUAUAGGAGGGACAAGAUUUUGUGGUAUGGCUGCAUCAUUUCCAAGCAAAGCCAUAUUUCUUUGUUCUUGUCUUCUCCUUCUAACAGUGCGUUCAAUUUCAUGAUCUAAGCCAACAACAAAUUCAGGAUUGCUCCUGGUCAUAAAACACCUAAAACAGAAAUGUAAAAAUAGUAACAAAAAGAAAACAAAUUAGUAAUAAAUAAAGGUUAGAUAAAAAAGAAUAAGUGCAAAAACAAAAAUAAACAUCAAACAAACGUCAUCCUCGAUAACGGUGCCAAAACUUGAUCACGCUAUGAACGUCACAAUAAAUAUGUGCAAGCGUACACUAUCGAUGUAAGUAAGUAGAUAGAUGUAAGUCUAUCAGAUAUCGAUCCCACGAAGAUGGAUGUUUGUGUUUAUAAUUGUUGAUGCAAUAAACAAAUAAAACAAUAUUGAUAGUGGUAAAGUUGUCGGAGCAAUGAAUAAGUAAAUGCAGUAAAUGUAUGAGAUUGAUUUGUCGAAGCAAUAAUGAAAAAUUUAAGAACUAAAGCAAUGACGAAGUUAAACCAUGCUAAGCGAUCUGUCGAAGCUGUGGGAUGUAAAAAUGCAUCGGUAGGGGAGGUUCCGCCUUAGGGGGAAGCACCCGCUUGAGCGAGAGUAAAAGAAGUGGAAGCGAGAAUGUCGACUUGAGUAAUGCAAACAUUGGUGAGAAUUCAAUACCCCAAAAAUCCAAUGGUUCCUCCGUAUGGUUCGUACACGGAGGGUGAGUUAGAGCCUAAGAACAAACCGAAAGGCGUAGUCGAUGGACAAUAGGUGAAUAUUCUUGUACUACCCCUUGUUGGUUCCCGAGGGACGGAGGAGGCUAGGUUAGCCAAAAGAUGGUUAUCGGUUCAAGGACGUAAGGUGCCCCUUAUUUUUAGGGUAAGAAGGGGUAGAGAAAAUGCCUCAAGCUAAUGUUCGAGUACCAGGUGCUACGGCACUGAAGUAACCCAUGCUAUACUCCCAAGAAAAGCUCGAACGACCUUUAAAAAAAGCGUACCUGUACCAAAAUCGACACAGGUGGGUAGGUAAAGAAUACCUAGGGGCGCGAGACAACUCUCUCUAAGGAACUCGGUAAAAUAGCCCUGGAACUUCUUGAGAAGGGGUGCCUCCUCAAAAAAGGGGUCGAAAGUGACCAGACCCGGGCGAUUGUUUACCAAAAACACAGGUCUUCGCAAAGUCGUAAGACCAUGUAUAGGGGCUGACAUCUACCCAGUGUCGAAAGGUCAAGGAAGUUGGUGACCGCAUGAAAGGCAUAACGAUCUGGGCACUGUCUCGGAGAGAGGCUCGGUGAAAUAGACAUGUCUGUGAAGAUGCGGACUACCCGCACUAGACAGAAAGACCCUAUGAAGCUUCACUGUUCCCUAGGAUUGGCUUUGUACUUUUCCUGUGCAGCACAGGUGGAAGGCGAAGAAGGUCCCCCUUCCGAGGGGCCGAGCCAUUAGUGAGAUACCACUCUAGAAGAGCUAGAAUUCUAACCUUGUGUCAGGACCUACGGGCCAAGGGGCAGUCUCAGGUAGACAGUUUCUAUUAGGCAUAACGGAGGCAUGAAAAGGUUUUGUCGGGCGGAUGAAGAUUGGCCCUCGAGUGCAAAGGCAAAAGGGAGCUUGACUUUAACACCCACUCGUCGAGCAGGGACGAAAGUCGGCCUUAGUGAUCUGACGGUGCCGACUGGAAGGGCCGUCGCUCAAUAGAUAAAAGUUACUCUAGGUAUAACAGGCUGAUCUUCCCCAAGAACUCACAUUAACAGGAAGGUUUGGCACCUCGAUGUCGGCUCUUUGCCACUUGAGGCUGUAGUAUGUUCCAAGGGUUGGGUUGUUCGCCCAUUAAAGCAGUACUUGAGCUGGGUUCAGAAUAUCGUGAGACAGUUCGAUCCAUAUCUAGUGUGGCCGUUAGAGCAUUGAGAGGACUGAGAAGGACACACAUUUGAUGUACCAAUUAUGGUGCCCACGGUAAAUGCUGGGUAGCCAAGUGCGGAGCAGAUAACUGUUGAAAGCAUCUAAGUAGUAAGCCCACCCCAAGAUGAGUGCUCUCCUAUUCCGACUUCCCUAGAGCCUCCGGUAGCACAGUCGAGACAGCAAGGGAUUCUCUGUCCUUGCAGGGAUCGAGUGACAGAAGUUUUGAGAAUUCAAGAGAAGGUCAUGGCGAGACAAGCCAUUUAUCAUUACGAUAGGUGCCAAGUGGAACUACAGUGAUGUAUGCAGUUGAGGCAUCCUAACAGACCGGUAGACUUGAAC
rnacentral:rRNA from 1 species